rnacentral:tRNA from 1 species
GCCGAGGUAGCUCAAUGGUUGAGCAACGGUUUUGUAAACCGUAGGUUGUGGGUUCAAAUCCCAUCCUCGGCU